rnacentral:rRNA from 1 species
UACGGAGGGUGCGAGCGUUGUCCGGAAUCAUUGGGCGUAAAGGGUGCGUAGGUGGCAUGGUAAGUCGGAUGUGAAAUCCCGGGGCUCAACCCCGGAACUGCAUUCGAUACUGCUGAGCUAGAGUACUGGAGAGGAGAUUGGAAUUUACGGUGUAGCAGUGAAAUGCGUAGAUAUCGUAAGGAAGACCAGUGGCGAAGGCGGAUCUCUGGACAGUUACUGACACUGAGGCACGAAGGCCAGGGGAGCAAACGGG